rnacentral:rRNA from 1 species
GACGAACGCUGGCGGCGUGCCUAAUACAUGCAAGUAGAACGCACAGUUUAUACCGUAGCUUGCUACACCAUAGACUGUGAGUUGCGAACGGGUGAGUAACGCGUAGGUAACCUGCCUGGUAGCGGGGGAUAACUAUUGGAAACGAUAGCUAAUACCGCAUAAUAUUGAUUAUUGCAUGAUAAUUGAUUGAAAGAUGCUAUUGCAUCACUACCAGAUGGACCUGCGUUGUAUUAGCUAGUAGGUGAGGUAACGGCUCACCUAGGCGACGAUACAUAGCCGACCUGAGAGGGUGAUCGGCCACACUGGGACUGAGACACGGCCCAGACUCCUACGGGAGGCAGCAGUAGGGAAUCUUCGGCAAUGGACGAAAGUCUGACCGAGCAACGCCGCGUGAGUGAAGAAGGUUUUCGGAUCGUAAAGCUCUGUUGUAAGAGAAGAACGAGUGUGAGAGUGGAAAGUUCACACUGUGACGGUAUCUUACCAGAAAGGGACGGCUAACUACGUG